AUACAGAGAGGGACAUCACAAACUGCGAGGGCGCAGAAGGAACAGUCGGAUGUCUUCACGGCUGCUGGUGGAAACUAUCCUCGUACGAGUCAACAGCCCCGGGUGUUCACAGCAGCACAAGUAAAGCU
rnacentral:lncRNA from 1 species